rnacentral:ncRNA from 12 species
AAGCUGAGAAGUAAUAUGGUAAGUCAAGGUACUGUAUUAUGGAGCUACUACAGGGGUUGGCGUAUGUCCACGACUUGAAUAGGCGUUAGCUGAAAAGAAAUACGCUUUU